rnacentral:rRNA from 1 species
UACGGAGGGUGCAAGCGUUGCUCGGAAUUACUGGGCGUAAAGCGUACGCAGGCUGUUCACUAAGUCGGGUGUGAAAUCCCGGGGCUCAACCCCGGAAUUGCGCCCGAAACUGGUGGGCUUGAGUGCGGGAGAGGGAAGCGGAAUUCCUGGUGUAGAGGUGAAAUUCGUAGAUAUCAGGAGGAACACCGGUGGCGAAAGCGGCUUCCUGGCCCGACACUGACGCUCAUGUACGAAAGCGUGGGGAGCAAACAGG